rnacentral:rRNA from 1 species
UAGAGUUUGAUCCUGGCUCAGGAUGAACGCUAGCGACAGGCUUAACACAUGCAAGUCGAGGGGCAGCGGGGGUGAUGGCUUGCCAUCGCCUGCCGGCGACCGGCGCACGGGUGAGUAACACGUAUGCAACCUGCCCGCCACAGGGGGAUAAGCGGAAGAAAUUCCGUCUAAUACCGCGUGACGCGGCACCGGGGCAUCCCGGUGCCGCCAAAGGGAUUACCGGUGGCGGAUGGGCAUGCGGCGCAUUAGCUAGUCGGCGGGGUAACGGCCCACCGAGGCGACGAUGCGUAGGGGUUCUGAGAGGAAGGUCCCCCACACUGGUACUGAGACACGGACCAGACUCCUACGGGAGGCAGCAGUGAGGAAUAUUGGUCAAUGGGCGCGAGCCUGAACCAGCCAAGUCGCGUGAGGGAUGACGGUCCUACGGAUUGUAAACCUCUUUUGCCGGGGAGCAAGCGUGCGUUCGUGAACGCGCGUCGAGAGUACCCGGAGAAAAAGCAUCGGCUAACUCCGUGCCAGCAGCCGCGGUAAUACGGAGGAUGCGAGCGUUAUCCGGAUUUAUUGGGUUUAAAGGGUGCGUAGGCGGGAUGCCAAGUCAGCGGUAAAAAAGCGGUGCUCAACGCCGUCGAGCCGUUGAAACUGGCGUUCUUGAGUGGGCGAGAAGUAUGCGGAAUGCGUGGUGUAGCGGUGAAAUGCAUAGAUAUCACGCAGAACUCCGAUUGCGAAGGCAGCAUACCGGCGCCCUACUGACGCUGAGGCACGAAAGCGUGGGUAUCGAACAGGAUUAGAUACCCUGGUAGUCCACGCAGCAAACGAUGAAUGCUAACUGUCCGGUGCGAGUGAGCGCUGGGCGGUACAGCGAAAGCGUUAAGCAUUCCACCUGGGGAGUA